GAUGAACGCUGGCGGCGUGCCUAAUACAUGCAAGUCGAACGAAACUUCUUUAUCACCGAGUGCUUGCACUCACCGAUAAAGAGUUGAGUGGCGAACGGGUGAGUAACACGUGGGCAACCUGCCCAAAAGAGGGGGAUAACACUUGGAAACAGGUGCUAAUACCGCAUAACCAUAGUUACCGCAUGGUAACUAUGUAAAAGGUGGCUAUACUACCGCUUUUGGAUGGGCCCGCGGCGCAUUAGCUAGUUGGUAAGGUAAAGGCUUACCAAGGCAAUGAUGCGUAGCCGAAUUGAGAGGUUGAUCGGCCACAUUGGGACUGAGACACGGCCCAAACUCCUACGGGAGGCAGCAGUAGGGAAUCUUCCACAAUGGGCGAAAGCCUGAUGGAGCAACGCCGCGUGGGUGAAGAAGGUCUUCGGAUCGUAAAACCCUGUUGUUAGAGAAGAAAGUGCGUGAGAGUAACUGUUCACGUUUCGACGGUAUCUAACCAGAAAGCCACUGCUAACUACGUG
rnacentral:rRNA from 1 species